CAGUCGCGUUGGCUUGGAAUCAGCCUUGCUUUUGCUUGGUGUACUUCCUUGUUAACGGGUCAGCAUCAAUUUUGACCGGUGGAAAAAGGCCAGAUGAAUGUGGCAUCUUCGGAUGUGUUAUAGCUUCUGGUCGUAUACAUCGGUUGGGAUUGAGGAACUCAGCACGCCGCAAGGUCGGGGUUCGCCCACGUUCGUGCUUAGGAUGCUGGCAUAAUGGCUUUAAUCGACCCGUCUUGAAACACGGACCAAGGAGUCUAACAUAUAUGCGAGUGUU
rnacentral:rRNA from 1 species